AACGAACGCUGGCGGCACGCCUAACACAUGCAAGUCGAACGCGAACGGUUCUUCGGAACUUAUUAGAGUGGCGGACGGGUGAGUAACACGUGGGAACAUGCCUUUCAGUAAGGAACAACGCUUGGAAACGAGUGCUAAUACCUUAUACGCCCCAAGGGGGAAAGAUUUAUCGCUGAAAGAUUGGCCCGCGCUAGAUUAGUUAGUUGGUGAGGUAACGGCUCACCAAGGCUACGAUCUAUAGCUGGUUUGAGAGGAUGAUCAGCCACACUGGGACUGAGACACGGCCCAGACUCCUACGGGAGGCAGCAGUGGGGAAUAUUGGACAAUGGGGGCAACCCUGAUCCAGCGAUGCCGCGUGAGUGAUGAAGGCCUUAGGGUUGUAAAACUCUUUCAGUAGGGAUGAUAAUGACAGUACCUACAGAAGAAGCUCCGGCUAACUCCG
rnacentral:rRNA from 1 species